AGCAGCCGCGGUAAUUCCAGCUCCAAUAGCAUAUAUUAAAAAUUGUUGCAGUUAAAAAAGCUCGUAGUUGAAUUUCUAGGCCUGGCCGGAUGGUCCGUUUUCAUGCGAGUACUGUCUUGUUGUCAGGCCUUCUUUUCUGGUGAACCAGUAUCCUCUUCAUUGGGUGUGUUGGGGAACCAGAAUCAUUACCUUGAAAAAUUAGAGUGCCCAACGCAGGCGAUUGCUUGAAUAGAUUAGCAUGGAAUAAUAAAAUAGGACGUGUGGUCCUAUUUUGUUGGUUUUAGGACCACCGUAAUGAUUAAUAGGGAUAGGGCGGGGGCAUUAGUAUUCAAUUGUCAGAGGUG
rnacentral:rRNA from 1 species